GGUAGAGCUCAGUGGUAAAGUGCUUGCCUAGCAUGCAGGAGGUCCUGGGUUCAAUCCCCAGUUCCACCA
rnacentral:tRNA from 1 species